AGCAGCAGUAUGUUUUUUCCUCUCUUUUUCUUAGCAAAGGGAAAAGAAAACAAGCCAAACUGAAGCCUUGAAACACAAGCACUUCAAAGCUUAUCACUCUCUAUCUAUCACCCUGACAGGUCUACUCGUGUUCUUGCAGUACAAAAACCUAAGCUGAUAAUGGGGGAGGUCUUAAAACCUUACAAGAAUGAGUCUUUCUUAAUGUUUUAGUUUGCUUUUCAUGCUUCUUGAUUAUUAUUAUUUUUUAAUUAGGAAGAGAAGAAACCGGCAGCAGAAGAGGUGAAAAAACCAGAGGAACCAAAGAAAGUAGAGGAGGAGAAGACAGAAGAGAAGCCAGCAGAAAAACCAGCGGCUGAAGAGAAAAAAGAUGAGAAAAAACCAGAGGAGACGAAAGAUAAAUCACCUCCACCUCCUCAAGAAAUUGUACUUAAAGUCUAC
rnacentral:lncRNA from 1 species